AGGGCACCACCAGGAGUGGAGCCUGCGGCUUAAUUUGACUCAACACGGGAAAUCUCACCAGGCCCGGACACCGGAAGGAUUGACAGAUUGAGAGCUCUUUCUUGAUUCGGUGGGUGGUGGUGCAUGGCCGUUCUUAGUUGGUGGAGCGAUUUGUCUGGUUAAUUCCGAUAACGAACGAGACUCUGGCCUACUAACUAGACGUUAGAUCCCUUUGUGGGUCUAUCGCAGCUUCUUAGAGGGACGGGCGGCGUUUAGCCGCACGAGAUUGAGCACCUAACAGGUCUGUGAUGCCCUUGGAUGUUCUGGGCUGCACGCGCGCUACACUGAAGGAAUCAGCGUGUGUUCCCUGUCCGAAAGGACUGGGAAACCCGUUGAACCCUCCUUCGUGAUGGGGAUUGGGGAUUGCAAUUAUUCCCCAUGAACGAGGAAUCCCAGUAGGCGCGAGUCAUAAGCUGCGUCNAUUACGUCCCUGCCCUUGGUCACACCGCCCGUCGCUACUACCGAUCGAGUGAUUUAGUG
rnacentral:rRNA from 1 species